rnacentral:rRNA from 1 species
ACGGGAGGCAGCAGUGGGGAAUUUUGGACAAUGGGCGAAAGCCUGAUCCAGCAAUGCCGCGUGUGUGAAGAAGGCCUUCGGGUUGUAAAGCACUUUUGUCCGGAAAGAAAACCUCCGCCCUAAUAUGGUGGGGGGAUGACGGUACCGGAAGAAUAAGCACCGGCUAACUACGUGCCAGCAGCCGCGGUAAUACGUAGGGUGCAAGCGUUAAUCGGAAUUACUGGGCGUAAAGCGUGCGCAGGCGGUCCGCUAAGACAGAUGUGAAAUCCCCGGGCUUAACCUGGGAACUGCAUUUGUGACUGGCGGGCUAGAGUAUGGCAGAGGGGGGUAGAAUUCCACGUGUAGCAGUGAAAUGCGUAGAGAUGUGGAGGAAUACCGAUGGCGAAGGCAGCCCCCUGGGCCAAUACUGACGCUCAUGCACGAAAGCGUGGGGAGCAAACAGGAUUAGAUACCCUGGUAGUCCACGCCCUAAACGAUGUCAACUAGUUGUCGGGUCUUCAUUGACUUGGUAACGUAGCUAACGCGUGAAGUUGACCGCCUGGGGAGUACGGUCGCAAGAUUAAAACUCAAAGGAAUUGACGGGGACCCGCACAAGCGGUGGAUGAUGUGGAUUAAUUCGAUGCAACGCGAAAAACCUUACCUACCCUUGACAUGUAUGGAACCU